GGAAAGUUGCCAGAGAGGUCGAUCGGGUCGGUCUCGAAAACCGAUGUACUCGCAAGGGUACCCAGGGUUCGAAUCCCUGACUUUCCG
rnacentral:tRNA from 1 species